GGUGCACAUUGUUAGAGCUUGGAGCUGAGGCUCUUGGCUGGCCUAUGGACUCACAAGUAUAGGUAUUGUGCUACAUGAGGAGCAAAGUUUUCGCUAACACUCCAGCCCCAUGGGUAGAACUUGAUAGUAAUCCUUGCUACAGGU
rnacentral:snoRNA from 1 species